GAAGAAUGUAAUGGAGCACACAUCUGGCAGCGUGACAUCCUUCCUAUGGGGCGCAGUGUGCCCUCCAAGCAUGGAAUCAUCACUGUGGAUUCCUGCUUCAGUCCUGUGGGCACGAGUUGUACUGUGUGCACUGAGGAGAGCCAGAAAGGAGCACGGUGUCAUCACCUGAGGGGAAACAAAAAUCAGAAACGAGGAGGGGAAAUUUUGGUGCUUAUUUUUAGACUCUGUGGGACAAGCCAACAUGCUCGUAAGUUUUGUAGAAGAAAAAGCUGCCUGUUAAUCAGCACUUUAUUGUCUCAGUAUGCUUAAAAUAAGCGUUUUGUCACAUUCAAGAAGCAGCAUCUUCAUUGGUUUGGAUUCUGGCACCACUCUCAAUGUUGUCAAGUGCUGUCAGUUGUCUUCUUUCUGUAACUUAUUUACUGGGGGAGAGAGAUUGAGAUUGAAAUUGAAACCUUCUGGUAACAGUUUUCAUAAGAUACACAUUGGAUGUGCUGUAGAAGUAUCUCUAGUGUUACAAAGAACAACAGAACUGAGGAGUAAUAGCCUCAUCUUGUGCCCUAGAGAGGUCCCACUUAGAGGUUUUGACUACUGUAUAAGACAAGGAACAAAAGCUAAAAUUUCCCUAUUGCACAGUGAAUACAGUGAGCGGAAGGAAAGAAGAUACCAUCUUAUCAAAGGAUCUUCUGAUUUCCUUUAUAAACAGCUAAGAAGAAGCUUUACCACUUCCCUCAGUAUUAAGCAAAGGACUUUUGGAAGGACAACAGAUGAUAUGCAUACCAGAAUCCUCUUUGACUGUCUUAGAAUGUGUCUUUAGUAUAAGUGGCAAUAAAAACAAAUACUGAUUUAAAGCCAGAUGCUUCUAAUUAGUCUACAGUGUUGUAUUUUAAUCUGAUGUGGGGAAAGAAGAGUUUGGUCUUUGACUCAGGAAACCUGCUUUUGUCAUUGACCCUGAAGCUGUCCUUGUGGCUGACUUCAUGUGAAUCGUUGCAUCUCUAUGCCACUCUCACACUUCUCAAACUCAUCAGCAUCACCUUACACAAUAAAGGUAAAUUACUUGACAAGAUAUCACUGCAAUUAAAUUCAAUAAUUGACAGAAAUUUAGAGUCAGAUCAUUCUAAAUAAGGACCAAGUGCAGUGGACAGGUUAAGGCUAUUCUGGUAGCUUAUACUGUAAAUUGUUUUAUUGUGCAGUAGCAAUUUCAGAAAAUGGACAAUUAGUCUUGUUUUGAAUACUGCAACUGAGAUGAAAAUAUAGAAAAGAGAAAUUAUUUUCAUUAUGAAAUGUUAGAAGUGUAUGGCUAUAAUGAUCCUUAAGAGGAGAUACGGCAAGAAAUAGACUGAAUUAAAUUCUUGCAAACAUUCAUGGAGUAAAAAACCAUUAAAACAUUCUAAGAGCCAUGUGACCACUGAUCAGAAAGUGUAAAAGCAAUGCUCUGGAAAUGAAUGUUUUCCCAAAAAAAAACUUUUCAAUAAGAACAUGGGAGUCUGCACUAUUUCUUGUGGUAAAAAAUAAAAGUUACAUUCCAACUUUAAAGAGACAGUGCUUCCAUAGAACUUGCACACUCAGAACAUACUGUGGCUCCAUAAGAUUAUGAAAGAAAAUAAGUUUAGGACUUGAUCCAUGUUGUUUUCAAGUGUGCACUUAGCACUCCUUUUGUGUUUUUCCACGUGGAUAAUAAAAAAUAGAUGGAGCAGUUUCACAAUUGCUUCCAUUUCAUUUCUUUUUUCUGAUUUGUAUGCACUUGUGGAGUUGCUGCUAUUGGAAAAAUAAUAAUGAAAUCACUCUUGGGAAUGGAGUGCACAACAUAUUUUGUUGACAUUUUGAUAUGUAUGUCAAGUAAUCCUUUUCUUGUCCAAGCUUUUGUAAGCUUGCUUUUGGUGAGGACUGUUGUGCUCAGUGCCCAGCAAAUGAAAUGAGAAACUUUAAUUGCUAUUUUGAAUCGAGUGUGUGCUAGUAGCAACGUAAUGGUUGUUUUCUAUAGGGUUAUUUUUAAGUGACCCAUAAAUAAACACUUACAUGGUCUCAGAUGUGUUCUGCCUCAAUAAUGAAUGCAAUUGGUCCUAAUUGUUUUCCUUGGUAGCUCUCAGAAAGAGCUCUCGUAGAGAGCUUAGGCUACUGAGUUUGAAUAUUGCUUUUUCCUUUGCUUUUCUUGAUGGUUCUUGGAAGUUUGUUGAAGCAUUGAAACACACUGUUAAAACACUGUAGAAGUGAAGUCUUCCUCGUGCUGACAGAACCAGACCUGCUGUGUAGACAAAGGAGUUUUUCUCUAGGGCUGUCAUGUCUGACAUCCCAUCCUUCGUUGGUAAUAAAUGCACAGAAAAAGGGAGUGAGGAAACGGACAGUUCUUGCACCAGUUCCCUUCCUAUGUGGA